AGCGACAGGAGCGUGCUCUCCCAGAGGCCCUGCGGUAAGGCAUCCCUGAGGUCUCAGGCCGGUCCCUCCUUGACCCUGCCUUACAGGGCCUCACCCCUCCCUCCAGGUUUGAGUGUGGGUGCCCCCCCACACACACACACGGGAGGGGGCCCACCAUGUGAGGUUCCCACCGCUGUCCACCUGCUCUUGGAAAAUGGCAGGAGACGAAGUGACCUCUGAGACUGCAGGGGUGCCCCUGUGAAGUGUGUGACGCGUGUCUUUAGGGGUGAUGAGAUGGGGAGGUUAACCCCAAACCAGGAAAACCAGGAGGCAAGAAGUGAAAACUGUAAAAACGACUUUUUUUUUCUGAAGUCCUUAAGGAGCCUGGCAGCAGCUGGCUGGAAGGCUGGUAACCCAGAACCAAAGCUUAGUAUGCCAGCCACUAAGGACUCUGUUGGCAGGGGGAUGGGGGAGUGUCCCCUCCAUGGACCUUGAGCAAACCCUCUCCUGCCAGCCUCCGGCUCCCCCUGCAGAGACCAUGUGAACCAGACGCUGUUCGGAGGCUCACGCACGGACAGAGAAGCACCGCAGAGCUACCGUAAAGCAGAGAUUUAAAAAAAAAAUACUCCACGAAGCUCAGGAGAUAGGAAAUAGCAAUAGCCACCUGCUCUUGCGAGAGACACACACAGACAUCAGGGCCUCCGUUGGCCUCCAGUUACCUAGUACUUUAUUCUGAGUGCCUAGGCGGGGACUGAGAGCACAGCACGCACACGGGACAAACGGAUUGGUCUUCUUCCAGAAACAAGGGGCCGAGCAGGCACCUCCCAGGGGCUGGGCGUUGAACCAUACCCUCUGCUUGCAGCGUUGCCAGUAACGCCCAGGACCGAAGGCACUGGCUGGGCAGCACCGAGAAGAGAGCUAAGGGCCCGACCGCAGGGCAAAGACGGCCACGGGGCUGGAGCCGAGAAGGGUCAGGAGAGGCCUGCGCCCAAAGCAGGCCCCUCGGGCGAUCUUCCCCUCCUUCCAGGGCAGAACCCCGCUCUGGGCCUCCUCGCUCCGCAGACAGAGACCUUAAGGCAGAGGUGUCAGCACCAGCCUUGGACAAGCAGCCUCCUCCCUGCAGAACUGUACACUGUGCAGCCGAGUUGGGACCACUGCAGCUCACAGACCCAGCAGCGGUACUAACGCCAGCACCUUGGACCCUGCCGCCCCGGGAGCCAUCCGAUGGCUGCAGGAGCUCUUUGAGGGAGCAGCCUGGACUGCCUUCUGGCCCCUUUGUCAUCUGAGGAUGCAAAGCAUCAGCUCCUUGGUGUGGUGGGACAGAGCCGGGUGAGCGUGCUGCUGGGUUCUGAGAAGGCCCUGUGCU
rnacentral:lncRNA from 1 species